rnacentral:tRNA from 1 species
GGAGAGGUGGCAGAGCGGUUGAAUGUACCUGACUCGAAAUCAGGCAGGCGUUUGUAGCGCCUCGGGGGUUCGAAUCCCCCCCUCUCCGCCA